rnacentral:rRNA from 1 species
UACGUAGGUGGCAAGCGUUGUCCGGAUUUACUGGGCGUAAAGAGCGCGCAGGCGGUCGUUCAAGUCGCGUGUGAAAGCCCCCGGCUCAACUGGGGAGGGUCACGCGAUACUGAUCGACUCGAAGGCAGGAGAGGGAAGUGGAAUUCCCGGUGUAGUGGUGAAAUGCGCAGAUAUCAGGAGGAACACCGAUGGCGAAGGCAGGUCUCUGGGCCACUACUGACGCUGAGAAGCGAAAGCAUGGGGAGCGAACAGG